rnacentral:rRNA from 1 species
CCUACGGGUUGCACCAGUGGGGAAUUUUCCGCAAUGGGCGAAAGCCUGACGGAGCAAUGCCGCGUGGAGGUAGAAGGCCCACGGGUCGUGAACUUCUUUUCCCGGAGAAGAAGCAAUGACGGUAUCUGGGGGAUAAGCAUCGGCUAACUCUGUGCCAGCAGCCGCGGUAAUACAGAGGAUGCAAGCGUUAUCCGGAAUGAUUGGGCGUAAAGCGUCCGUAGGUGGCUUUUUAAGUCCGCCGCCAAAUCCCAGGGCUCAACCCUGGACGGGCGGUGGAAACUACCAAGCUGGAGUACGGUAGGGACAGAGGGAAUUUCCGGUGGAGCGGUGAAGUGCGUAGAGAUCGGAAAGAACACCAACGGCGAAGGCACUCUGCUGGGCCGACACUGACACUGAGAGACGAAAGCUAGGGGAGCGAAUGGGAUUAGAUACCCUCGUAGUC